CGCACAUUGCGCCCUUUGGUAUUCCGAAGGGCAUGCCCGUUCGAGCGUCAUUUCACCAAUCAAGCCUGGCUUGGUGUUGGGCCACGGGGGAACCCGGGCCUCAAAGUUCGCCGGCCGACCGUCUCGGAUCUCAGCGUUGUGGCAUCAAAACCCGCGGAGAGAUGGGGCGGACGCGCCGUGACAAAACCCCUUUUUAUCAAAGGUUGACCUCGGAUCGGGUAGGGAUACCCGCUGAACUUAA
rnacentral:misc_RNA from 1 species